rnacentral:rRNA from 1 species
ACGGCGAGUGAAGCGGCAACAGCUCAAAUUUGAAAUCUGGCUACUUUGUAGUCCGAGUUGUAAUUUGUAGAGGAUGCUUUUGGUGAGGUGCCUUCCGAGUUCCCUGGAACGGGACGCCAUAGAGGGUGAGAGCCCCGUACGGUUGGAUGCCAAACCUUUGUAUAGCUCCUUCAACGAGUCGAGUAGUUUGGGAAUGCUGCUCUAAAUGGGAGGUAUAUCUCUUCUAAAGCUAAAUAUAGGCUAGAGACCGAUAGCGCACAAGUAGAGUGAUCGAAAGAUGAAAAGCACUUUGAAAAGAGAGUUAAACAGCACGUGAAAUUGUUGAAAGGGAAGCGCCUAUGACCAGACUUGUCUCUAUCAGUUUUGCUAGUUUUCGGACUGGUUUACUCUGUUAGUACAGGCCAGCAUCAGUUUGUUGUUGGGGAGAAAGGCUUAGGGAAUGUGGCUCUUUCGGGAGUGUUAUAGCCCUUUGCAUAAUACCUUUCGACAGACUGAGGACCGCGCUUCGGCAAGGAUGCUGGCGUAAUGGUCAUCAGCGACCCGUCUUGAAACACACGGAACAA